UUUCCACAUAAGCCAUGCGUUGAUGGGCAACGUUUCAAACCGUGUUGCCCGUCUGAAGUUAAACGGUUUGAAUGUUGUCCAACAUUGCUACGCUUUAUCUCUUUCUC